rnacentral:rRNA from 1 species
CGAAGGUAUUGAAAUAAGAUUUUAAAUGAGUGCUAAGAGAAUGAUUAAACAAUUAAAAGCUUUCUUUAAUUGAAUAAUUGAAUUUAAUUUUUUAGUGCAAAAGCAAAAAUAAAAAUUAGGGACAAGAAGACCCUAUGAAUUUUUUAUUAAAUUUUAUAAAACUUUAUAUAAAAUUUAAUUUAAUUGGGGUGAUGGAAAAAGAAUAAAUAUCUUUUUUUUAAAGAAAAUUGGUUCCGUUUUUAGCGAUUAAAUGAAAAAAAUACUCUAGGGAUAACAGCGUAAUAAUUUUGGAUAGUUCAUAUAGAUAAAAUAGUUUGCGACCUCGAUGUUGGAUUAGGAUUCUUUUUUGGUGAAGAAGUUAAAAAAAGAAGUUUGUUCAACUU